AGAGUGAACGCUGGCGGCAGGCCUAACACAUGCAAGUCGAACGGCAGCACAGCAGUAGCAAUACUGUGGGUGGCGAGUGGCGGACGGGUGAGGAAUACAUCGGAAUCUACCUUGUCGUGGGGGAUAACCUCGGGAAACCGGGACUAAUACCGCAUACGAACUAUGGUUGAAAGCGGCGGACCGCAAGGCGUCGCGCGAUUGGAUGAGCCGAUGUCCGAUUAGCUAGUUGGCGGGGUAAAGGCCCACCAAGGCGACGAUCGGUAGCUGGUCUGAGAGGAUGAUCAGCCACACUGGAACUGAGACACGGUCCAGACUCCGUACGGAGGCAGCAGUGGGGAAUAGUUGGACAAGUGGGGGCAACCUGAUCCAGCCAUGCCGCGUGUGUGAAGAAGCCUUCGGUAGUAAGUCACUUUUUGGUUAGGGUAAGAAAACGCAACGUUGGUUAAAUACGUU
rnacentral:rRNA from 1 species